UCUAAACUCGUGUCAGUGAACCCCUGCAAGUGCCAGCCAGAUCAUAGUGCAGACUUAGCUUGUUAAGGAAUAAAUACUCAUUUCAUCAAUCAAAAAACACACCCUUUUCAUUUAAUUUGAGAUUAUUUUCUGCAUUUUUUCAGUGUAUACUCGUUUUCUUCCUCCAAUUGGGAAUUUGAGUUUCUUUUUCUAUGUGGGGUUUGGGUAACAUU
rnacentral:lncRNA from 1 species